ACGAAGGAUUGUGAGGAAACGUAAGUAGAGACACAAUGACUGAGUGGCGGACGGGUGAGUAACGCGUAGGGAACCUGGCCCUUACAGGGGGAUAACAGAUGGAAACAACUGCUAAUACCGCAUAAGCGCACGGCCUCGCAUGAGGGAGUGUGAAAAACUACGGUGGUAAGGGAUGGCCCUGCGUCCGAUUAGCUAGUUGGUAUGGUAAAGGCAUACCAAGGCAACGAUCGGUAGCCGGCCUGAGAGGGUGGACGGCCACAUUGGGACUGAGACACGGCCCAAACUCCUACGGGAGGCAGCAGUGGGGGAUAUUGCACAAUGGGGGGAACCCUGAUGCAGCGACACCGCGUGGGUGAGGAAGCGCUUCGGCGUGUAAAGCCCUAUCAGUGGGGAAAGAAAAGAGACCGGUACCCAAAGAAGAAGCACCGGCUAAAUACGUGCCAGCAGCCGCGGUAAUACGUAUGGUGCAAGCGUUAUCCGGAAUGACUGGGUGUAUUGGGAGCGUAGACGGUUGUUCAAGUCUGAUGUGAAAGCCCUCGGCUUAACUGGGGGAGUGCAUUGGAAACUGAAGGACUAGAGUAUCGGAGAGGCAAGUGGAAUUCCUAGUGUAGCGGUGAAAUGCGU
rnacentral:rRNA from 1 species